rnacentral:rRNA from 1 species
AACGAACGCUGGCGGCAGGCCUAACACAUGCAAGUCGAACGCCCUAGCAAUAGGGAGUGGCGCACGGGUGCGUAACGCGUGGGAAUAUGCCCUUCACUGCGGAAUAACGUUUGGAAACGAACGCUAAUACCGCAUAAUGACUCCGGUCCAAAGAUUUAUCGGUGAAGGAUUAGCCCGCGUUAGAUUAGCUAGUUGGUGAGGUAAUGGCUCACCAAGGCGACGAUCUAUAGCUGGUCUGAGAGGAUGAUCAGCCACACUGGGACUGAGACACGGCCCAGACUCCUACGGGAGGCAGCAGUGAGGAAUAUUGGACAAUGGGCGCAAGCCUGAUCCAGCCAUGCCGCGUGAGUGAAGAAGGCCUUCGGUUGUAAGCUCUUUCUAGAUGUGAAGAUAAUGACGGUAGCAUCAGAAGAAGACCCCGGC